UUUCCGUAGGUGAACCUGCGGAAGGAUCAUUCAUAAUAAGUGUUUUACGGCACUUUUUUAAAUCCAUAUCCACCUUGUGUGCAAUGUCAGGGUUGGUCUCUUUUGAUCAGCCCCAAACAUCAACUAUUAUCUCAACUCUUUGUCUGAAAAAUAUUAUGAAUAAAACAAUUCAAAAUACAACUUUCAACAACGGAUCUCUUGGCUCUCGUAUCGAUGAAGAACGCAGC
rnacentral:misc_RNA from 1 species